AGCGACAUGCUUGUUUAGUGAUAAAGAAAGCCAAGCCAACAAUUUUUGACCAGACUGAUCACUUGACUUUCAAUGUAAAUUUUAAAAUCACAGCUUCAGCAGCACAUGUACAUCUACAGAGCAUAUCAUUAAUAUCCCAUGUUUAACUCUUUGAGUGGAAAAAGAGGGACUCACCAGAAGCCAGCUGUUACAGAGUGUAGUUACAGAAAAAAAAAAAGUCACCCAUCAUCACCCUUUAGAGUUUACUGGGCUUUCAAGAGAGCACUAAUUUACUUAUAUCUGCAUACUGGAAGCUGUACAGUAACCAUCAUUUUUGCAUCUCAUUAGUAGCCAGAUAACCCUUAUUGCAUUUAUGGUCUGGGUUAACAGCAGGUUUGAGAGCACCUAGCAAAUCACAGCUUCGUUGUACUUGUUAUAGAUGGGUAAUGCAAUGGUCGGCACUCGCAAUUAAGGGAUGAAUAUUAUGUACAUGUUAAGAGAAGUUAUAUUGAUGUGUAGUUAUGUUAGUGUGAUUUGUUGUUUAGACAUCCUCUGUUCUCUCCAUAUUCCCCUUUCCCCCUGUAUGGUUGCCAAGGGGUGGCCUUAGUAGUCAGGACAUGGAGGGAGGGCAUGUACCUUUGCCCCUUGCAUGGGGCAUUUAGGAGGAGGGCAGGCUUGUUACUAGGAGGUGCGGCAUGACAACACCUGACCUCCAAUCAAGUUGCAAGAAAGCAGUCUCCACCAAUGGACAGCAAAGAAGAGCUGAUUGGCAGACUUUGGGAGGGGCCAGGGUUACCUGAUGCAACACCAAAGUUAUAAAAGGUGGAGCAGCGAUUUUGUGGGUGAGUACAUGGUGGAUUAAUGCCGUGCUCCCAGUGCUGUAAUUUUUCCUUACUCAGUCCUUUGUUGUAUUUUGUUAAAAUUUAAUAAAACUUUGAAAUUUUUAGAGGUGAGCAUCGUUUCUCACAUACUGGACAUUAGACAAGCAGUAACACAUAUCUUACCCUUAAAAUAUGCCAACACCACUGCCUGCCUCCUGCAAAAGGAGGCGAGUUUCAAAAUAUGCUCCUUUACUUUUGUUAUGCAAAGAUUUGUCUCAUUUGAGUAGACUGUUUGCUGCUCAAGUGUUUUCAGUUGGCCUCUUCCCAAUAGAACAUCAUUCAAAGUAUCCAUGUGUGAUCACAGAAAAAGGAAGAAUCAGAUGCUGAAAUUAACACAAGAACACUAGAUAGAGUCAGUUCCAGGUGCUUUAAAAAUAACAAAAAACAAACCACACCCACAUCCCCCCAAAAACAGCCAACCAAAAACAUUUGAGUCCAUUUAGGUUUUAUAGGAAGUAGUAUUUUCUCCUGCUGGCAGGAGGGCUCUUGUGCUAAAAGCAAAUACACUGUCAGCUUUACUAAAGACCCAGUACAUUUUAUGGCUUCAAAGUGUUUAUCUCAAAACAAAUCUCUGGAGUACAUCUACAUAAUUAUCUAAUGUUUAGUGUUGCUCGGCAAAGUCACAUCAUCUUUUCAAGAUAGAAAGCCUGCGGAGAUAUGAAGGUUGAAUACAGUGGCUGUUUAUAGCUCAUAUUAACAGCAAGUGGUACAGCAUUUCAGGCUCAACAGUCCCAAUCUUAGAGGGGAAAAACCAAGGAGUGUGAUGCUGAGCAAGUGAUCUUAGAAGUAUGCAAGCAAUGACACGCAGCAAACACAAAGGGCUGUCCAAUCUUUCAGAAUAGCAUGCCUGUUGAUACCUGUUGCUAUAUUUUAUAUAUUAGUAAAGGCCUGUAUGCACAAACCAGCCUUUGAAAUAAGUCGUAAUAUUAAGGGCUAAAGUCCUUGAAACCUUCAUGCAGAAGAGAGAGUAGAGCAAAACAAUAUCCUUGUGUGUAGGAGAAAAAAUGUAAACUGUGUGUGUUAGCCAAUAGUAGUUUGCUCUGCUUGCAGACCCUGUAGAACCCUAUAAAAGGUGUGCUAAAGAUAGAAAUAAACAGCGUUCACAAUUACUUCUGUGAAGACUGGUGAAUAGCUCGGGGGUCCUUCAACAGAUACCAGAUUUCAUAUUUCACAUAGAGCUAUUUUAAUGUCUGCAGCCAUCAGGGCUAAAAUGCUGUCAUUCUUCUGUUAGUAGGGGAAAAAAAGUAUUCCUCAGCAAAUUCGAAGCAGGGUAACCCAUACUGUGCACUAAGCCAUAUGUGCUGUGGAGCUCACAUUAACUGUACAAUCACUUCUGGACUGGGCACUGCAGCCUGUAUUGUAGAAAGUUUUUUAUUGUUUCUGCUCUAAUCUCCAAAAUAAACACAAGGAAGCAUAUCAAAUUAUAAAGCAACACAUUGCUUAUUGUUGUAAUGCAUUUAGAAAAAUGGUAUAACCCAAGAAUGUACCCCUGAAAUAUAGAAUGUUAGCUUCUCCCACUUAUCUCUUCCUCCCCAGUUUUCCUCAUUGGCUAUAAGACUGUAACACUCCCCCCUUUUCCUGACUUCAAAAAGGAGCGCGUUAUCAAUUUUCUUUCUCCAAGCGAUCCCUGGAAUAAAGCUGGAAUACCAUCUCAGGAAAGAGCGAGCCUCGUUUUAGUCCCUUUAGUUCUUGCUAUAGUAUCUUCCCCCCUUUCUGAGCUGCGGCAGGGCUGACCAUAGCUACAGAGAGGCUGGGAAACAUAUAUAUAAAUAUAGCAAUUGGUGCCUCAGUGAGAGGAGUUUUAAAACUCCCCACAAGUGACUGGAACUCCAUUAGUGGGGUUCAAAAAAGUCUUUCGAGGAUAAUCAAUUAUCUUGGGAGACACACGCUGUUUUCUGCGGCUGUGUACUCAAGGAAGGACCCGAUAGCCUUUUGAAUCAUCAGAGGGUCGGAUCCAGAACAGAGAUCUUCCUUGAAUCGCAAAAAAAAAAAAAAAAAAAAAAACCCACGGAGACCGGUAAGUCAGAGUGCCAAGCUGCAUCUGUAGCUGCAGCCAAGCAGGCAUGAAGGCGCGCCGGCGCGGGCAACCGCAAACCAGCGGCUGCGGAGGCCGCCAGGUCCGUGUCCUCCCCUCUCUGCCGAGCUCUGCCACGGCAAAAGACGUUCCCGUCACAGCACAGAGGCACGGCGGAUCCGGGCGUGGUCCCCCACGAACCGCAGCGGGCUUCCGGCGGCAGCAGAAUCAGUACCGAGCGCAGCUCAGGGCGGCGAGCUGAGAAGGGAGAAGAGGCCCCCCAAACGGCGGCAACGGGCGCAGAGCCAGAGCGCCAGAGGGCGCGGAGCCGAGGCGGCAGAGGGUGCAGAGCCGCAGGUGACGCGAUUAAACGGCGGGCUCGACACGGGUCUACUCGUUGGACAGUCAUUUGAGUGGACCUGCAGGACAAUUCACGAGACAUGGCAAGACUGGAUAUUAACUGGGAAGCCCCAAUGAAAUGAUACCACUGGAGGAUAUUGACCCAGGGGAUGAAGGCCAGUCCCUUCAUCUGCCAGUGGUAUGUGACAUCAUUAUUAUCCCAUUCGCGCUGAAAAAAGAGAAGACAUCAUCUUGCACUACACGGAUAACGUGCUUGUGUGCUGUCCCUAUAACAACAUGCUGCAAAACACAUUUGACCUAGUGGUUAAAAUUUUAACCUCUGCUGGAUUCCAAAUGCAGGAAGACAAAGUUCAAAAGAUGCCACUGUCCUGGGGUGAUUUUAUGAUACUGGUAUCCCCAAUCGCCUGGUUUAUGUUAUAUAUUUAGUUCUGCACCUUUAAGACUGGCUCUGAGAGCGAAGCGGGGGGGGGGGGAAGAAGAAACGUGCAGUUUAUGUUGAAAGAAAACAUCACUCCCCCACAUCCUGCUGCUAGACUGUGGUGUCUGCAACACGGACAGACAGCGAGACAGAGCUUCUCUCUGGCUUUUAGUUAGUUUUAGCUAGCUGAAGCAGAGGAGUUCCCUGGACCUUUUUUUCCCUUUUUCCUGGAUCUGUGCAAACUGGCUCUAGACUGAAAAAACACCCAGCCAAACCCCAAGAGCUCACGCCUGUGGCCCACCGGGGCCUGGGCCUCGGCACUUUCCAGUGCUGGAGGGACUGAUAAGAACCUGAGCGAGCCAAGCUACACCACAUGAAUAGGACUUUUCUUCCUGGAUUUGCCAUCCCAUCGAACAGCUAGAGGUUUUAUUAUUUAAUAUUAUUAAAUUUCUGUUAAAUAAACAGCU